GGUCUGGGCCUGGUCAGCUUUGCGGGGUCGGCAGUCAGCCUGUGUCUGGAAGGAGCAGCUGUGCAAACCCAUGCAAAGCUGACCAC
ensembl:miRNA mir19d microRNA 19d